rnacentral:rRNA from 1 species
CACGUAGGGCGCAAGCGUUGUCCGGAAUUAUUGGGCGUAAAGAGCUCGUAGGCGGUCUGUUGCGUCCGCUGUGAAAAACUCGGGGGCUUAACCCCCGAGCCUGCAGUGGAUACGGGCAGACUAGAGGUAGGUAGGGGAGAAUGGAAUUCCCGGUGUAGCGGUGAAAAUGCGCAGAUAUCGGGAGGAACACCUAUGGCGAAGGCAGCUCGCUGGGACGUUACUGACGCUGAGACGCGAAAGCGUGGGGAGCAAACAGG